rnacentral:miRNA from 2 species
UAUUGCACUCGUCCCGGCCUUA